AUUAUUUUUCCAAAAAAAAAAAAAAAAAUCUGUUCUUAUCAGUUUAAUAUCUGAUACGUCCCCUAUCUGGGGACCAUAUAUUAAAUUGAUUUUUGGAAUAGGGAGAUGGAAUAGGGGCUUGCUCCGUCCACUCCACGCAUCGACCUGGUAUUGCAGUACCUCCAGGAACGGUGCACCCCCU
ensembl:snRNA U2 U2 spliceosomal RNA